rnacentral:rRNA from 1 species
AUUGAACGCUGGCGGCAGGCCUAACACAUGCAAGUCGAACGAGUGGCGGACGGGUGAGUAAUGUCUGGGAAACUGCCUGAUGGAGGGGGAUAACUACUGGAAACGGUAGCUCAUACCGCAUACCAUCGGAUGUGCCCAGAUGGGAUUAGCUCGUAGGUGGGGUAAAGGCUCACCUAGGCGACGAUCCCUCGCUGGUCUGAGAGGAUGACCAGACAAACUGGACUGGCGAAAGGGGCCAGACUCCUACGGGAGGCAGCAGUGGGGAAGAUUGCACAAGGGGCGCAAGCCUGAUGCAGCCAUGCAGCGUGUAUGAAGAAGGCCUGCGGGUUGUAAAGUACUGUCAGCGGGGAGGCGUUACCCGCAGAAGAAGCACCGGCUAACUCCGUGCCAGCAGCCGCGGUAAUAC